rnacentral:rRNA from 1 species
AACGAACGCUGGCGGCAGGCUUAACACAUGCAAGUCGAGCGCCCCGCAAGGGGAGCGGCAGACGGGUGUGUAACGCGUGGGAAUCUACCGAGCCCUAAGGAAUAGCUCCGGGAAACUGGAAUUAAUACCUUAUACGCCCUUCGGGGGAAAGAUUUAUCGGGGUUUGAUGAGCCCGCGUUGGAUUAGCUAGUUGGUGGGGUAAAGGCCUACCAAGGCGACGAUCCAUAGCUGGUCUGAGAGGAUGAUCAGCCACAUUGGGACUGAGACACGGCCCAAACUCCUACGGGAGGCAGCAGUGGGGAAUAUUGGACAAUGGGCGCAAGCCUGAUCCAGCCAUGCCGCGUGAGUGAUGAAGGCCCUAGGGUUGUAAAGCUCUUUCACCGGUGAAGAUAAUGACGGUAACCGGAGAAGAAGCCCCGGCUAACUUCGUGCCAGCCGCCGCAGUAA